GUAAUGAUCUCUGUGUGUGCCUGGCUGUGAACGCACCAGUCCAGGCCUGUGUCUGGCUUCUCUGUUUAACUGGUAAACAUUCGAAGCCAGGUAGUACAGCACACAUUUAAAGGGCACUAAGCAGAAGCAGGAGGGGAAGGGUUUCUGAUGUUCCUUGGCUUCUGGAAGUCUCACAUUGCUGCUGCUGUUACUAUUGAGUUGGUUUACUAUGACUUGUGAGGUUGGUUAUAAUCCACAACGGUCUUGACAGCUGCGUGAAUAUGAAAUUGUGAUGUCUGCAAUGCAUGAAAACAUAAUGCAUCUCUGGAUGAAUAAGAAUUUUAGCUGGUCUGGACCUCUGAGGAGACAGUAUGAAUGACCAGCAGUGUUGCCAGGCAUGGCAUUCACUGGAGGUCAUGGCACCCAUCAUCUGUUCUGGAUAAAUCCUCUUCUGUAUGACUCAAUGCUAACAUGAAGACACAGAAGCUUACAAUGAAGCUGAAGUCCUCAGCUCUGAAGGCUGAUGAGGAAUGCCUUUAGUUCAUUAGGCACGCUAAGUCUGAAGGUGACUUCAGUUCUUUCAGUGGAUUUGUUGCCAAGGUUUUUAUAAGUUGGAAUCCCUCAUGAUUAUAUCCCUUGAAAUGUGCUUCUCCUUUGUUUCGAAGUUCCUGCUGUGGCUUGAUCUUACAACGGAAAUAUGAUGCAUGCUACUUGCAGAGUGUUGAAAAGCUCAUUGGUCCAAAUUUUAUUCUUCAUUUCAUCAUUGGCCUUGGUGACUGACAAAAGUACUGCUUUGUGUUUAUCUGAGUAUGUCCUCUUUCGAUUAUUGUGAGCUGCUGCUCAUUUAGUGUCUUGAAAGAAUUCCAUGAAAGUCAUAAUGAAAGACAAUACUUAGUUUUUCUGAGGAUGGUUGUACAAAUCCUGAAAUGCCUACUAAGUCAAUAAAACUGCUAUUUU